rnacentral:rRNA from 1 species
UACGAAGGAUCCAAGCGUUAUCCGGAUUUAUUGGGUUUAAAGGGUGCGUAGGCGGAUUGCUAAGUCAGUGGUGAAAGCCUGCAGCUUAACUGCAGAACUGCCAUUGAUACUGUCAAUCUUGAAUGUGGUUGAUGUGGGCGGAAUAUGACAUGUAGCGGUGAAAUGCUUAGAUAUGUCAUAGAACACCGAUUGCGAAGGCAGCUCACAAAGCCAUUAUUGACGCUGAGGCACGAAAGCGUGGGGAUCAAACAGG